rnacentral:rRNA from 1 species
UACGAAGGGGGCUAGCGUUGCUCGGAAUCACUGGGCGUAAAGGGUGCGUAGGCGGGUCUUUUAAGUCAGGGGUGAAAUCCCGAGGCUCAACCUCGGAACUGCCUUUGAUACUGGGGGAUCUCGAGUCCGGGAGAGGUGAGUGGAACUGCGAGUGUAGAGGUGAAAAUUUCGUAGAUAUUCGCAAAGAACACCCAGUGGCGAAGGCGGCUCACUGGCCCCGGUAUGACG